GAUGAACGCUGGCGGCGUGCCUAAUACAUGCAAGUCGAGCGAAUGGAUUAAGAGCUUGCUCUUAUGAAGUUAGCGGCGGACGGGUGAGUAACACGUGGGUAACCUGCCCAUAAGACUGGGAUAACUCCGGGAAACCGGGGCUAAUACCGGAUAACAUUUUGAACCGCAUGGUUCGAAAUUGAAAGGCGGCUUCGGCUGUCACUUAUGGAUGGACCCGCGUCGCAUUAGCUAGUUGGUGAGGUAACGGCUCACCAAGGCAACGAUGCGUAGCCGACCUGGUAGGGUGAUCGGCCACACUGGGACUGAGACACGGCCCAGACUCCUACGGGAGGCAGCAGUAGGGAAUCUUCCGCAAUGGACGAAAGUCUGACGGAGCAACGCCGCGUGAGUGAGGAAGGCUUUCGGGUCGUAAAACUCUGUUGUUAGGGAAGAACAAGUGCUAGUUGUAUAAGCUGGCACCUUGACGGUACCUAACCAGAAAGCCACGGCUAACUACGUGCCAGCCGCCGCGGUAA
rnacentral:rRNA from 1 species